AUGGAGGAAAAUCGGGUGGAAGGGGAUGAGGAGGACAACUGGGAUCAUCACGGCCCAGAUCCGAAUUUGGAGGAUGCGUUUGAAGGCCUAAACCUACAUGGAGAGGAGAAGGAAGACCUAGAUCUGUCCGGGGAGGUUGAUGAGUUAAUCAGGGAUGUGAGAUGGCUGGCUCUCUUUAGGGUUCAUACCCUACGUCCGUUCAAUCAAGCGGCCCUGUUAAACUCCAUGAGGAAUGCUUGGGCGUGUGCUCAAGGUGUCACGUUCAAUAUCAAGGGACCUAACUUGUUUCGGGCAUAAUGUCAUUGCUUGGGAGAUUGGAAGAGGGUGAUGUAAGGAGGACCAUGGCAGUUUAGAAGGGAUCCUGUGGUUUUGGUUGAAUAUGAUGGGUUCACUAAUGUCUCAGACUAGUCAUUGGACAUGUACCCACUAUGGGCAAGGAUCAAGGGCUUCCCAGACGGGUUAACGAGGAAGAAAGAACUAGCGGAGAAGGUGGCGAAGAAGGUAGGAGAGCCUCCGUUUAUAGUGAUGGUCAAUGAAGGAAAGAUUAACCCCUCUAACCACCUGAGGGUUAAAGUGUUUGUUAAUGUUAAUAAACCUAUGGUGAGAUUUGUGUCGAUCACCUUGAAGGAGAGGAAGAAAUACCCCGUUUACUAUGAAAAGUUGCCAGACUUUUGCUUUUUUUGUGGUUGCAUGGGCCACGUGGUGGAGGAAUGUGGCGAUGGGAUACACGAUCUGUCGUCGGGUGAAUGGGGUGACUAUUUGCACUGGAGCAGAGAACCAAUAAACAGUGGAGCAAGAGGAGGUCGAAGUGCUUGGUUUGAUUCAUGUAGAGGGGAUAGUGCUUCGGGGGAGGGAGUUCGGGGUGGUAGAAGAGGAGGCGCAGGCAGAGGAGAAAGAGGAGGGAGAAGCUCUGGGGCUAGAGGUAGGGGUGUUGUAGUGCAUCCGGUUCAAACUGAGAGAGGUGUUGUUGAGGUUGAGUAG
rnacentral:rRNA from 1 species